rnacentral:rRNA from 1 species
UGGGGAAUAUUGCACAAUGGGCGAAAGCCUGAUGCAGCGACGCCGCGUGAGGGAUGACGGCCUUCGGGUUGUAAACCUCUUUCAGCAGGGACGAAGCGCAAGUGACGGUACCUGCAGAAGAAGCACCGGCUAACUACGUGCCAGCAGCCCCGGUAAUACGUAGGGUGCAAGCGUUGUCCGGAAUUACUGGGCGUAAAGAGUUCGUAGGCGGUUUGUCGCGUCGUUUGUGAAAACCAGCAGCUCAACUGCUGGCUUGCAGGCGAUACGGGCAGACUUGAGUACUGCAGGGGAGACUGGAAUUCCUGGUGUAGCGGUGAAAUGCGCAGAUAUCAGGAGGAACACCGGUGGCGAAGGCGGGUCUCUGGGCAGUAACUGACGCUGAGGAACGAAAGCGUGGGUAGCGAACAGG